rnacentral:rRNA from 1 species
AGAGUUUGAUCCUGGCUCAGAACGAACGCUGGCGGCAUGCCUAACACAUGCAAGUCGAACGAAGGCCCUAGCUUGCUAGGUGUCCUUAGUGGCGAACGGGUGAGUAACGCGUGGGAAUCUGCCAUAGAGUGGGGAACAACUUUUGGAAACGAAAGCUAAUACCGCAUACGCCCUUAGGGGGGAAAGGCUUCGGCCGCUCUUUGAUGAUCCCGCGUCUGAUUAGCUUGUUGGUAGGGUAACGGCUUACCAAGGCGACGAUCAGUAGCUGGUCUGAGAGGAUGAUCAGCCACACUGGGACUGAGACACGGCCCAGACUCCUACGGGAGGCAGCAGUGGGGAAUAUUGGACAAUGGGGGAAACCCUGAUCCAGCAAUGCCGCGUGAGUGAAGAAGGCCUUAGGGUUGUAAAACUCUUUCGCCGGUGAAGAUGAUGACUGUAGCCGGUAAGGAAGCCCCGGCUAACUCCGUGCCAGCAGCCGCGGUAAUACGGAGGGGGCUAGCGUUGUUCGGAUUUACUGGGCGUAAAGCGCACGUAGGCGGCAUAUUAAGUUAGAGGUGAAAGGCCUGGGCUCAACCUAGGAACUGCCUUUAAUACUGGUAUGCUUGAGUUCGGAAGAGGGUAGUGGAAUUCCAAGUGUAGAGGUGAAAUUCGUAGAUAUUUGGAAGAACACCGGUGGCGAAGGCGGCUACCUGGUCCGAUACUGACGCUGAGGUGCGAAAGCGUGGGGAGCGAACAGGAUUAGAUACCCUGGUAGUCCACGCCGUAAACGAUGAGUGCUAGUUGUCGGGAUGCAUGCAUUUCGGUGACGUAGUUAACGCGUUAAGCACUCCGCCUGGGGAGUACGGCCGCAAGGUUAAAACUCAAAGGAAUUGACGG